UACGAGGGGGGGCGAGCGUUUGUUCGGAAUUAUUGGGCGUAAAGGGUGCGUAGGCGGUUUGGUAAGUCUGAUGUGAAAUCUAUGGGCUCAACUCAUAGUCUGCAUCGGAAACUGCCGGGCUUGAGUGUGGGAGAGGUGAGUGGCAAUUCCCGGUGUAGCGGUGAAAUGCGUAGAUAGUCGGGAGGAACACCCUGUGGCGAAAGCGGCUCACUGGACCACAACUGACGCUGAGGCGCGAAAGCUAGGGGAGCAAACAGG
rnacentral:rRNA from 1 species